AUGUUGUUCGUAUUUAAAAAUACUGUGGGCAAAGGAAAACCUAAGAGCUCCAUCAGUGUAUAAUAUAAAUUCAUUGUGAUAUAUAAGACAGCUUAGAGGCAUUUUCUAAUAAGGUGGUGGAGAAAAUGGCGAGGAAGAGGAAAAUGAAAAUAUAUAGUCAACAUCGUUUGAUCACUUUGGUAACUCUAAUCAAGAAUGAAUGCAAGAGAUAUUAUGCAUGGUAUGCUUGCAUGGAAUUAACAUGAUUUUCGUGUCUUUUUUUGGAUCCAUUAUAUUACAACUUCCUAAUAAUAUCAUUUUCUUCCUUCUUAUCUUUGACUCUUUAUUUUCCUCUGAGGUUGUAGACUUGUAGUUUGUGUGAAUGCCUUCGAAUUAGAUAUAAAAUACAUUCUUCUUUCAUGUUUUUAUAGGUAAGACGGUCAUGUUUGGAGACAUUAAUAUUAUAUCAUUGGAUCUAAAAUUUGAACAAGCUUAAGCUAGCAGAGCAUGCAUAGGCAGUUUGUAUGUUAAAACUUGGCAUGAAAAGCUAAUCUUAUACUAUAGUUUUUGAGUUUUCAAGUCUAAUCUUGGAACCGUUCUGUCAUUUAGGUAAAUACAAUUAUCAUGUAUAAACUCGUAAGAUAUACAAUAUUCUCUUGGACGUAAUUUCUUUGUAGUUUCUACCAAUUUUACUAGUAUUAAGUUUCUUUGAGUACUUUUGCUAUUCUUUUUUAUGUAUAUAUUGGGAUCCUUUCUUUGUGAUUUAUGAUUUUCUUGAUAAUCCAUAAUUAAGCGCAUGUUUAUUCUUUUGCAUUGAUAUAUGCAAUUCUUUUCCAAAUACAUAGCUUUAAUCAUGACUUUCUAAUUUCUAUUUAUGCGUUUGAGUUGUUUGUUGUUAGGUCGAAGCAAUUCUUAGAAAGUGAAUUCAAUAUUCAAUUUUUUCCCAUCACAGGAAAUUUUAUAAUGCCUCUCUUGGUUUAUUGAUUUAAUAAUUUUGAAAUAAACAGAUUCUUACUAAUAUGUGAUUUUUUUUUUUUUUGAGAUGGUUAUCUUGCUUUAAGGAUGAGACUCCUCUACAUUUUCCAUUCUCUCACUUUUCCCUAGUUCUGGAUGAGAGCCACAUGGCAUAGUUAAGAUUUAAGAGUUAAAUGUUGAGAUUUAAUUAACUAAAGCAAUGUUCUAACCGUGGUUAGGAUAAUUAGUAUUUGCUUAUCAAUUUCUUAAGUUUCCGAUAACUCUUCUUUUUUCUAGUUUUAUGAAUUUCCAUAAUUUCUUAAGUUUCUGAUAAUUCUACUUUUUCCAAUUUUCUUAACUUCCAUAUAUAAUAAUAUCUUAAGUUUCCAAAAAUUCUUCUUAUCUUCAGUUUUCUGAACAUCCAUUAUCUCGAAAAAGAGUUAAUCAUUACUAAGCAUUUGUGUUAAUCUUUACUAGCUUGCUUCAUAGUUAAUCCCUUAUGAUAGCUAAUUUUAAAUGAGAGUGUCAUCUCUCUAGGAGUGAAUUUCUUCACUAGAAAUUUUAAUAUCAAAUAGAUUCGUUUUCACUUUUUUAUGUGGCAAAUAUUAUUUUGUACCGUUCUUUAAUUUUAUUAUCAAUGGUGGGAGUUUACAUCUAAUAUUUUUCAUUUUUGGAUGGAAAUAAGUGUUGGGUUUAAGCUUCUUAGAGCUUAAAAAGGAUAAAUGGGAAAUGGAGGGAAAAAUACAAUUUUGAUUUCCCCUCCUUGACAAAGGGACAUUGUCCCAUAUUUGAGUAGAAAAAGACUUUUGAUGGAUAUAUAUACAAUUGCUCUUCUUCUAGCUAUUAAAAAGUUAAGGAGAAGGCAAGCCUCGCGCCGUCACCAUUGCUCGCUCGGCUUCGGCUUCAGAUAAUUCAACUUUCCUCCGUUUUAAUUUUCCCGUUAUAAUUUGAAUUUGGCGGUUUGCAUAAAUGGUCGUUUUAUGAAACAACCAUUUUGAGGUGCAACCUUACAUGAAGAGUUGUAACUCUUCAGUAUAACCCAAAGCAUUUUGGCUAUAAAUACAUGAACUCUCCUUCAGAUUUUUUUUACGAAAUUCAGAUUUAUCCUUCUUCUUUCUACAUUGUUUUAACACAAAAGAAAGCAGUAAGUGUGAUUUAUUACUGUUCUUUGCCUUCGUUGUCACUAGGGUUUGAAGUACCGCUACACCAGUGAGGGUAAUCCGUUCUAUCCUGGGAGAAAAUAAUCCCAAACCUCAGGUACUAGAAGGAGAUUAAGUUCCUUAAGGAAACACUAUGAAUUCGGUGGGCUCGGAAUAAUUCUAUUCUUCUAUAUUUCUGGUUUUAUAUCGUUUUACUUUUUAAUAUAUUUUCGAAUACAGAGUAAUAACAAGCUUAAGGAACUUAACUUUUUUUUUUUUUUUUGUAUUUAUCUUAUAUUCUGAUUGUGGGAGACUAACUACUCUCAGUUUGGAGACCAAAAUCUUCGGAUUUUCUACUUUUUGGUUGACAUUACGAGAUUAAAAUCUCUGUGAUUUUCUACUCGUUCUGUAUUCGGUUUGAAGAAAUAAAAUCUUCACCGUAGUAUUUAAUCUGUUUCUGUUAAAGUUGUUCGGUUUGAAGAUUUUAAAUACUUCACCGUUAAUUAAUUUUGUUUCUGUUUUGUUGUUAACAGAAAUGACAGAACCAGUAACUCCCGUGGUUGGCUCUACGAGCAAUGUUGCUACUUUCAGUCGUUCUGUGCCACUACCGGCUCCGGCGGAAAAGCCCAAAAAAAUUUUCGAGAUUGAUUUCAAACUUGGCAACAGAAGAUGUUCUUCUAUUUGACUAUUUUGAGUCUACAUAAGUUUAUUGUGAUGACCUGAUAGGUCAUCUUGUAUUUUUGAACCUAAUUAUAUGUUUCGAGGUCUCAAAAAUCUCAUUUUAGCCUUUAUCAAUUUGCGUGCACAGUCCGAGUAUUUUUUCGGAAGUCUUAUAUGUUAAAAAUUGAUAACAAUAAGAUUUUUACCUUAGAAA
rnacentral:lncRNA from 1 species